AAGAGACAGCAGCCGCCGCGGGAAUACAGAGGGUGCGAGCGUUAAUCGGAUUUACUGGGCGUAAAGCGUGCGUAGGCGGCUUCUUAAGUCGGAUGUGAAAUCCCUGAGCUUAACUUAGGAAUUGCAUUCGAUACUGGGAAGCUAGAGUAUGGGAGAGGAUGGUAGAAUUCCAGGUGUAGCGGUGAAAUGCGUAGAGAUCUGGAGGAAUACCGGUGGCGAAGGCGGCCCCCUGGACAAAGACUGACGCUCAGGUGCGAAAGCGUGGGGAGCAAACAGGAUUAGAUACCCCCGUAGUCCCUGUCUCUUAUAC
rnacentral:rRNA from 1 species